GGCGUUGAUUAUUAAGUCUGUGUUUCGGCCACAGAUAAGGAUUAAAGUCCCAAUGCUU
rnacentral:tRNA from 1 species